rnacentral:rRNA from 1 species
GAUGAACGCUGGCGGCAUGCUUAAUACAUGUAAGUCGAACGAGGUGCUCUUGUCUUCGGAUGAGGGUAUCCUAGUGGCGAACGGGUGAGUAACGCGUUGGUGACCUGCCCCGAAGUGUGGGAUAACAGUUCGAAAGGACUGCUAAUACCGCAUACGAUCGUUUGGAUUAGACGCCUUACGAUUAAAGGAGUAAUUCGCUUUGGGAGGGGACCUGCGUCCCAUCAGCUAGUUGGUAGGGUAAUGGCCUACCAAGGCANUGACGGGUAGGGGGACCUGAGAGGGUUGACCCCCCACACUGGUACUGAAACACGGACCCAGACAACUACGGGUUGGNAGAAGUUGGGAAUCUUGGGACAAUAGGGGAAAAGCCUGAUCCAGAAAUGCCGNNUUNAUAAUGAAGGCCUCCGG